rnacentral:rRNA from 1 species
UACGGGGGGGGCAAGCGUUGUUCGGAAUUACUGGGCGUAAAGGGCUCGUAGGCGGCCAACUAAGUCAGACGUGAAAUCCCUCGGCUUAACCGGGGAACUGCGUCUGAUACUGGAUGGCUAGAGGUUGGGAGAGGGAUGCGGAAUUCCAGGUGUAGCGGUGAAAUGCGUAGAGAUCGGCAGGAACACCCAGGGAGAAAUCAGCCGCCUGGGCAAGUGCUGACGCUGAGGUGCGAAAGCGUGGGGAGCGAACCGG